rnacentral:rRNA from 1 species
CCUACGGGAGGCAGCAGUAAGGAAUAUUGGUCAAUGGAGGAAACUCUGAACCAGCCAUCCCGCGUGAAGGAUGAAGGGGCUCUGCCUUGUAAACUUCUUUUGUCUGGGGCGAAAAAGCCUGAUUUAUCAGGAACUGACGGUACCAGAAGAAUAAGCUCCGGCUAACUACGUGCCAGCAGCCGCGGUAAUACGUAGGGAGCAAGCGUUGUUCGGAUUUACUGGGCGUAAAGGGCGCGUAGGCGGCGCGGUAAGUCACUUGUGAAAUCUCUGAGCUUAACUCAGAACGGCCAAGUGAUACUGCAGUGCUAGAGUGCAGAAAGGGCAAUCGGAAUUCUUGGUGUAGCGGUGAAAUGCGUAGAUAUCAAGAGGAACACCUGAGGCGAAGGCGGGUUGCUAGGCUGACACUGACGCUGAGGCGCGAAAGCCAGGGGAGCAAACGGGAUUAGAUACCCCGGUAGUCCUGGCCCUAAACGAUGAAUACUUGGUGUCUGGAGUUUCAAUACUCCGGGUGCCGUCGCUAACGUUUUAAGUAUUCCGGCCUGGGGAGUACGCUCGCAAGAGUGAAAACUYAAAGGAAUUGACGG